rnacentral:snRNA from 1 species
AUGCAUUUGGAGAUUAUUG